UCAAAGCACAAAUAACCUUGCAAUUUAAAAAAGAAACAGAACCCUUCAUUCUCUUUGGGUUUAUUAAGCAGCCGCCCAAACCACCAUCAAUUUGAUGGCUGACGGUGCACAACUGGGGAUCAAAUCUUGCUGAGGAAGGUCUCGCCCACGAAGAUCUGAGCUUGUUGGCAUGCGUACGGGGUGCAGGCGUGGCGUACGAGGGUUGUAGAGGUAUGGGACUGCUGUAGUGGAGGUAUGGGGCUGUUUCUUGGUUGUGGCGCAAAACGAAAAGAGGGGGAGACCUAAGGUUUCUGGAGCUGUUAAGGGAAUGGACCUAUUGGGCUUGUUUCGAUUUGGGCUCAUGAUGGGUAUCAGGUUAGGGUUAAUGUAUUUGGGCUGCUUUGUACCAAAGACCUGGACUGUAGUAUACAUAUUUUUUUGUGAUUUUUUUUUGUAUUUUCGUUUUGGUUCUUGUCUUUAUACGGGCCGGGCAAAUUUGGCCCAUUACAUCCGUAAUUAAACAAAAUCAUUUACAUUGUUUGUUACAUAGUUAUUUUAUCUCAACAAUCAUUUCUACAAAACAA